rnacentral:rRNA from 1 species
AUUGAACGCUGGCGGCAGGCCUAACACAUGCAAGUCGAGCGAGCGGCGGACGGGUGAGUACUGUAUGGCGACUGCCCGCUAGAGGGGGAUAACUACUUCAAACGGUGCCUAAUACCGCAUACUGUUGGAUAACCCUUAUGGGAUUAGCUAGUUGGUAAGGUAAUGGCUUACCUAAGCGACGAUCCCUAGCCGGGCUGAGAGGAUGAUAAGCGACACGGGGACUGAGACAGGGUCCAGACUGGUACGGAGGCAGCAGGGGGGAAUAUUGGACAAUGGGCGCAAGCCUGAUUCAGCCAUGCCGCGUGUAUGAAGAAGGCCGUAGGGUGGUAAAGUACUUUCAGUCGGGAGGCGUUACCGACAGAAGAAGAACCGGAUAACUCCGUGCCAGCAGCCGCGGUAAUUA